UGGGAGCAGAGGUGACAUGAUCUAACACCAUCAUAGUGGUUAUGGAGGUCCAGGUACAAAUACCAUGAGAAAAAGCUAAAAAUUGCAAGCUGUUGCCUCUGGAGAGCAGCACUCAGCCGUGAAAAAGAGUGCGUGCAUCAGAGAAAGGAGGAAAGAAUGAACACAGGCGACUGACUGUAUGACCUACUGGUGGAAUACGAGGCAGAGCCUGGGGAAGUUUUGCAAACUGCAAAAGAAUGGGACAAUGCAAGCCAAGUACCUGGGACAGGGACCCUUCUCCCCUGACUUUUUGUGGCCUCCAUGUCCUCUAUGAUCGAUGGACAAUACUCUUACCAGGUCCAGGAUUCCAAAGUGAAGCAGCACCUGGUCGCUGGAGGCAGGAGGUAAUUUUC